GGAUUCCCUUAGUAAUGGCGAAUGAACAGGGAAAAGCCCAAAUUUGUAAUCUGGCUCUUUCAGAGUCCGAGUUGUAAUUUUAAGAACUGUUUUCAGUGCUGGACCAUGUUAAAGUCUGCUGAAAAGCAGCAUCAUAGAAGGUGAUAAUCCUGUUCAUGAUGUGGACUACCAGUGCAAUAUGAUACAGUUUCUAAGAGUCGAGUUGUUUGGGAAUGCAGCUCAAAAUGGGUGGUAAAUUCCAUCUAAGGCUAAAUAUGGAUGAGAGACCGAUAGUAAACAAGUACCGUGAGGGAAAGAUGAAAAGAACUUUGGAAAGAGAGUUAACAGUACGUGAAAUUGUUAAAAGGGAAACAAUUGAAGUUAGACUUGUUAUUGUUAGUUCAACCUUUUUUAAAGGAGUAUUCUAAUGAUUAACAGACCAACAUCAAUUUUUGGGUGUUGGAUAAGGGUUUGAGGAAAUGUAGCAGUUUCUGACUGUGUUAUAGUCCUUGAGCUUUGA
rnacentral:rRNA from 1 species